ACUAAAAGCAAGUCUACAUUUAUAGCACAUUAUGAUUGUGAACAAGGAACCCCUUGUUCCAGAAAGUAAAAAGGAACUCUCUUGAAGCUUGGGUUAGUGUGUGUGUGUGUGUGUGUGUAUGUGUGUGUGUGUGUGUGUACACAUGUGCUGGUGUUUGGAUGUAUGUGUGUGAACGAAUGUAAGUCCUUGCUUUUCAUGUUCCUUUUGUUGUCCUUAUUUGUCCUUUUGUUUGUUUUUGUUUUUGUUUUUUUUAACUUGGAAGGGUUGAUAGGGUGGGGGGGGCGGGCCAGAAGGGAAGAGGGUAAACUGAGAUGUCAGUGUCCCACACAGCUUCAGAGAAAAAUCCAUGGAAAGAUGUCGCAUUUGUGAAGUAAGUAAGUACUUGAAAAGCAUGAUCUUGGUUUUGCUUUGUUUUGUUUUUAAUUUUUUUUAUUUUGCUAUUAAGAAUUUUUAUUUGUAGGAUGUUUAAUUUAAUUUUUUUUUUUAGGGAUGGGGGCCAUCAUGUGGAAACCAGAAAAGGGGAAAGUGUGAAAUAUUGAGACAGAGAUUGUUCUGUGUCCUUACUUGCUUUUGAUUGGCCUCAUUUCAAAUGUACUAAACAGUUUCAUACCUGGAUUGGAUGUCUGUGAUGGUUACCAAAAACAAACAAAACAAUGAAAGGAAAAAAAAAGAGAAAAUAAUUGUGACAUGCUUUUAUCACUACUUUAUUUUUCAAAUAACAUGUAAAUAUUGUAAUCCAUUGGAUUUUGUUUUGCUAACCUGUUAAUAAAAAUAUGGGACCAUUAUCCUUUUAACAAGGCUAGAAUGUCAUUUUUUUUCUUUUUCAAACAUAUACCUGAUAUUUUGUGGCCGCACAUUUUGGACGCAUUCUGUUUUCUGUUGACUGUAAUGACGUAGAAUUUACAACAUUUUUUGUUGUUGUUGUUUAAUUUAUACAGAGGACAUUUUUUUCCAGAGCUUGAGAGAAGAAAAUAAAUAGCAAAAUGAUAACCUAUUGACUCCAAUAAUCAGUGUUUCCUGAAACUUGAUAAAAGAGAGGGGGAUCCUGACUCCUUGAAGCCAAGGGUUUAAACACAAAAAAAUAAAAAUAAAAAAAAAUAACUAAAAAUAAAAAACACAAGUAGGUUAUUCAAGUUGUUUGCAACAUACAUUUUGUAAUGAGAUGUGAGAAAUUAAUAAAGAAUUUUUUUCACAUGUAUC
rnacentral:lncRNA from 1 species